rnacentral:sRNA from 1 species
GCCGGGCUUGGUGGUGCGUGCCUAUAAUCCCAACAGCUCGGGAGGCUGAGGCAGGAGGAUCACGUGUUCAAAGCCAGCCUCAGUGACCGUGAGGCUGCUAAGCAACUCAGUGAGACCCUGUCUGUA